rfam:Salmo salar isolate Sally breed double haploid chromosome ssa15, whole genome shotgun sequence.
UGCAUUCACUGGUAUAAGUCGCUCUGGAUAAGAGCGUCUGCUAAAUGACUAAAA